UACGUAGGGGGCAAGCGUUGUCCGGAAUCAUUGGGCGUAAAGAGCGUGUAGGCGGCCCGGUAAGUCCGCUGUGAAAGUCCAGGGCUCAACCCUGGGAUGCCGGUGGAUACUGUCGGGCUCGAGUCCGGAAGAGGAGUGUGGAAUUCCUGGUGUAGCGGUGAAAUGCGCAGAUAUCAGGAGGAACACCAAUGGCGAAGGCAGCACUCUGGGGACGUGACUGACGCUGAGACGCGAAAAGCGUGGGGAGCAAACAGG
rnacentral:rRNA from 1 species